rnacentral:rRNA from 1 species
AUUGAACGCUGGCGGCAGGCUUAACACAUGCAAGUCGAACGAGUGGCGAACGGGUGAGUAACGCAUCGGAACGUACCGAGUAAUGGGGGAUAACUGUCCGAAAGGACAGCUAAUACCGCAUAUUAUUCGAGCGGCCGAUGUCUGAUUAGCUGGUUGGCGGGGUAAAGGCCCACCAAGGCGACGAUCAGUAGCGGGUCUGAGAGGAUGAUCCGCCACACUGGGACUGAGACACGGCCCAGACUCCUACGGGAGGCAGCAGUGGGGAAUUUUGGACAAUGGGCGCAAGCCUGAUCCAGCCAUGCCGCGUGUCUGAAGAAGGCCUUCGGGUUGUAAAGGACUUUUGUCAGGGAAGCGGUACCUGAAGAAUAAGCACCGGCUAACUACGUGCCAGCAGCCGCGGUAAUUC